rnacentral:tRNA from 1 species
CCAAAUACGACCGACUCAUCCUGCUACGCCAUGGGCUCACGCUCAACGGCGUCGUGAUCGACACCCUGCUGGCG